rnacentral:misc_RNA from 1 species
AAAGGUUGAUGGGGAUAAUGAAAAUAAGGAGAUUACAAGGCAUAGAUAUGCAUUUCAGACAAGGAGUCAGAUUGACAUACUUGAUGAUGGUUAUCGAUGGAGGAAAUAUGGGCAGAAGACAGUUAAGAACAGUAAGUUUCCAAGAAGUUACUACAAGUGCACCCAUAAUGGAUGCAGUGUGAAGAAGCAAGUCCAACGCAAUU